rnacentral:rRNA from 1 species
GGGCGUUAAGUUGCAGGGUAUAGACCCGAAACCCGGUGAUCUAGCCAUGGGCAGGUUGAAGGUUGGGUAACACUAACUGGAGGACCGAACCGACUAAUGUUGAAAAAUUAGCGGAUGACCUGUGGCUGGGGGUGAAAGGCCAAUCAAACCGGGAGAUAGCUGGUUCUCCCCGAAAGCUAUUUAGGUAGCGCCUCGUGAAUUCAUCUCCGGGGGUAGAGCACUGUUUCGGCUAGGGGGCCAUCCCGGCUUACCAACCCGAUGCAAACUGCGAAUACCGGAGAAUGUUAUCACGGGAGACACACGGCGGGUGCUAACGUCCGUCGUGAAGAGGGAAACAACCCAGACCGCCAGCUAAGGUCCCAAAGUCAUGGUUAAGUGGGAAACGAUGUGGGAAGGCCCAGACAGCCAGGAUGUUGGCUUAGAAGCAGCCAUCAUUUAAAGAAAGCGUAAUAGCUCACUGGUCGAGUCGGCCUGCGCGGAAGAUGUAACGGGGCUAAACCAUGCACCGAAGCUGCGGCAGCGAACGUAUCACCCAAGACAACUUUACGGAGUUGACGAUUGACGGAGCGAAGCGACGUCAAAGCGUUCAUUAAAGUCGAGUUGGCUUAGGGAUACGUUCGUUGGGUAGGGGAGCGUUCUGUAAGCCUGYGAAGGUGUGUCGUGAGGCAUGCUGGAGGUAUCAGAAGUGCGAAUGCUGACAUAAGUAACGAUAAAGCGGGUGAAAAGCCCGCUCGCCGGAAGACCAAGGGUUCCUGUCCAACGUUAAUCGGGGCAGGGUGAGUCGACCCCUAAGGCGAGGCCGAAAGGCGUAGUCGAUGGGAAACGGGUUAAUAUUCCCGUACUUGGUGUUACUGCGAAGGGGGGACGGAGAAGGCUAUGUUGGCCGGGCGACGGUUGUCCCGGUUUAAGCGUGUAGGUGUGUGUUCCAGGUAAAUCCGGUUCACUUUAACACUGAGGCGUGACGACGAGGCACUACGGUGCUGAAGCAACAAAUGCCCUGCUUCCAGGAAAAGCCUCUAAGCAUCAGGUAACAYSAAAUCGUACCCCAAACCGACACAGGUGGUCAGGUAGAGAAUACCAAGGCGCUUGAGAGAACUCGGGUGAAGGAACUAGGCAAAAUGGUGCCGUAACUUCGGGAGAAGGCACGCUGACACGUAGGUGAAGUGAUUUACUCAUGGAGCUGAAGUCAGUCGAAGAUACCAGCUGGCUGCAACUGUUUAUUAAAAACACAGCACUGUGCAAACACGAAAGUGGACGUAUACGGUGUGACGCCUGCCCGGUGCCGGAAGGUUAAUUGAUGGGGUCAGCGCAAGCGAAGCUCCUGAUCGAAGCCCCGGUAAACGGCGGCCGUAACUAUAACGGUCCUAAGGUAGCGAAAUUCCUUGUCGGGUAAGUUCCGACCUGCACGAAUGGCGUAAUGAUGGCCAGGCUGUCUCCACCCGAGACUCAGUGAAAUUGAACUCGCUGUGAAGAUGCAGUGUACCCGCGGCAAGACGGAAAGACCCCGUGAACCUUUACUAUAGCUUGACACUGAACAUUGAGCCUUGAUGUGUAGGAUAGGUGGGAGGCUUUGAAGUGUGGACGCCAGUCUGCAUGGAGCCGACCUUGAAAUACCACCCUUUAAUGUUUGAUGUUCUAACGUGGACCCGUWAYCCGGGUUGCGGACAGUGUCUGGUGGGUAGUUUGACUGGGGCGGUCUCCUCCUAAAGAGUAACGGAGGAGCACGAAGGUUGGCUAAUCCUGGUCGGACAUCAGGAGGUUAGUGCAAUGGCAUAAGCCAGCUUGACUGCGAGCGUGACGGCGCGAGCAGGUGCGAAAGCAGGUCAUAGUGAUCCGGUGGUUCUGAAUGGAAGGGCCAUCGCUCAACGGAUAAAAGGUACUCCGGGGAUAACAGGCUGAUACCGCCCAAGAGUUCAUAUCGACGGCGGUGUUUGGCACCUCGAUGUCGGCUCAUCACAUCCUGGGGCUGAAGUAGGUCCCAAGGGUAUGGCUGUUCGCCAUUUAAAGUGGUACGCGAGCGUUCUCCCUGAGACUUAGAGUCUCCUGAAGGAACGUUGAAGACGACGACGUUGAUAGGCCGGGUGUGUAAGCGCAGCGAUGCGUUGAGCUAACCGGUACUAAUGAACCGUGAGGCUUAACCUU